CAAGGCUUAUGGCUCAAAUUUGAAGUUGAGAAUUGUUUUUAACAUGAUUUUCUAAAAAAAUUAGAAGGUUUAUAGGAUAAAUUCUUCUAGCAAAUAUAUUUGUAAUACAUACUUUAACAUAUCUUCCUAAAAAUAUAUAUACAAUACUCUAACAAGUAUAUUCAAAGUCACUAACUAUAACAUGUCAUCUAAAAUAUCUCAAACCAGAUAUUUUUGAAAAAGUUAAAAGGAGUUUAAAUGAGAUAUUCCCAAAUAUAAUUCUGCUUAAUAUUGCAUGCUCAAACUUUAUUCCACUUCAAAAAAAAUUGAGGGUUACUUUAUAUAAAUAAAAUAUAAAAGUCACAUAUAUAUAUAUAUAUAUAUAUGUAUAUGCAGAUUCAUGUAUCAUAAGUUCAUGGUACCCUGAGGUGAUUCGGGUUGUUUCAUUGUACGUUUCAUCCUUUUGGACAACAGAUACCCAUUGAAUGUGUCAGAAACAAUGAACCCGAAUCAAAGAACCAAACAAACGAUGGGACGAAAAAUGAGAAUAUAAACCCCAUCCAUCCACACUACAUCCAUACAUGCACAUAUUCAUUCAUCCACACACAGAGUUGGCAUGAGUUUUGUGUUAGAGAGAGCUCCGGAGCAUCAUCCCCUCCUCCUCCACUGCCUACCUCCCUCCCUCCCUAACUCGCUUACUCCUGGUUAACCAUUGGCAUCGCGGAUAUCGAUCACGCCUGGAGAUUCCCGUCGCAACCCCCUUUCAUGCCGUUCUUUCCCAUCGCUGCAUCCAAUGUUGUGCGCCAUCCGACACUUUCGCCAUGCUUGCUUCCGACGUCGAUGAAAACACGGAGUCUCGUUUCACUCCCCCAGCCUCCGCUCCCUCUAACCGUCGAGGCCAUUCGCGGUUCGAAGAAGCGCUACCCCUCGACUGGGCCCAACUCCUCCGCAACAUCCACACACACAUGCACACACACACGCACACACGCCCUCGCCAACUUGGAUAUUUGCGAAUCCCAGUAGCGCCGUAACUCCACAGCUGCCCCCCUUCGUCCUCGCUCCCCUUCAGGUACUUCCCCCCAGCGGUCCAGCGCCCGAUACUUUCCAGCACAGUGGCAAAAUGUUCUCACGAGCCAUUCUCUGUCUGUCUCUCCCUAGAGCAAGCAGUACGGGAACUAGCUCGUUUUUAUCCCCCCCCCCCUCUCCCCUCAAUCCCGCGUGGCUAUCACACUAUCAGUACCAUGAAAGAUUCGGGUGUCGUCAGCACUUGAUCGACGUCGGCGGAGCUCCCUAGGCGCGGGGACUCCUCCGUAAACUAUUAUCCCCACCUCACCCCCCC
rnacentral:lncRNA from 1 species